UGGGAAGGGAUGGCUAAAGACCUGA
rnacentral:piRNA from 1 species